rnacentral:rRNA from 1 species
CCUACGGGAGGCAGCAGUGGGGAAUAUUGCACAAUGGGGGAAACCCUGAUGCAGCGACGCCGCGUGAGUGAAGGAGUAUUUCGGUAUGUAAAGCUCUAUCAGCAGGGAAGAAGAAAGACGGUACCUGACUAAGAAGCCACGGCUAACUACGUGCCAGCAGCCGCGGUAAUACGUAGGGGGAAAGCGUUAUCCGGAUUUACUGGGUGUAAAGGGAGCGUAGACGGCUGUGCAAGUCUGAAGUGAAAGCCUAGGGCUCAACCCUGGGACUGCUUUGGAAACUGUGGAGCUAGAGUGCUGGAGAGGUAAGUGGAAUUCCUAGUGUAGCGGUGACAUGCGUAGAUAUUAGGAGGAACACCAGUGGCGAAGGCGGCUUACUGGACAGUAACUGACGUUGAGGCUCGAAAGCGUGGGGAGCAAACAGGAUUAGAUACCCGUGUAGUC